rnacentral:rRNA from 1 species
CACUGCAAAACUAGCCCGCCAUCCAGAACCAAUUAGCACACAUUUAUAAACCCUUAUUUACACAUGAUAAAAACCAAACCAUUUUCCCACCUUAGUACGGGAGACAAAAAAGGAACCAGGAGCAACAGAAUCAG